rnacentral:misc_RNA from 1 species
AAGUCGUAACAAGGUUUCCGUAGGUGAACCUGCGGAAGGAUCAUUAACGAGUCACAAAGUUGACAUUGCUUUUGCACGGCGGGGACAUUUCUGUGCCCCGUUCCGGUCCUGGCCAGUGAUGACGCGCCCCCAAAUUAAGUGGGGCGAAGAGCUGGCUUCAUCCGUUUUAACCAUACCUGUGAACCAAAAACAAAACCUUUGCUUCGGCAGCACGCAAACCGGCAGCGUCUCUGGGGACGCUGUCGGUAGGGCGGUAAGGCUGCCAGAAGCCCACCAAUUCCAAACCAGUUGUUGCCAAAUUCUAUUACAAGUCUGAACUGAUAUACCAUUUCGUAUGGAAAAUCAUAUUAAAACUUUCAGCAACGGAUCUCUUGGUUCCC